AGAUAACAAAGAUGACAAGGGGAAAAUAAAAUGGCUAUUGCCUGUUUUCACUUUUGUUUUGUACAUGAGAUUCGGUGACCACUACAUAUAAAAUCUAUUUCCAUCUUAGAUUUUCUAAGGAUGGAAGUUGUGCAUACCAUUUUACGAAAUAUAUCUUGCACGGAGGCGGCCUCCUUUGGAGACCAUCUUUUCCUUUGUGCAAUCCACACUAAGACCUACAUUCACAUUGAAGAUAAUACUACUAAACUUUACAAUUGACGAAACUAGAUUUUCUAUACACAUCAAUAAAACACUGGCAUUGUGCAUCAACAAGAAUUUCUCGCUUUCCAAUACCAAUAAAGACGCCCUGAAAAAGAGUAAAAGAAAACAAAAUUACUCGAGAGGAAUAGUAAAAUGACCUUAGAUCUAUUGAAGAAGGCACAUAUCAAGAACUAACAUAUUUUUUUAAGUUAGGAGAUCUAGUGAAGAUCUCAUUUCCACAUAGUGAGCAAGCUACAACUUUCAACAAUUUGGCUGUUAAGUGUAGGAUCCGAAAAUGACCAUUCAGCAUUCACAAAUCAUAUCCUAUAUUCAGAUGGAACUUGACAAUCCAAAGAUUUGGCUAUAUUGUGUAACUCUAACCUCAAACAACCAUUGACAAAAAAUUACUUGAUGAAUUUUAAAUUAUUGUAUCAGAUUAAUUUUGAUACAUUGUUAGUGUAAAACUUUUUACAUUGUCGAUCAAUCACAAACCACCAUUUUUAUGACUUCUAGGGUAAAUAUGAUUAAAGUCAAAUAUGUUUAAAGAUCUAACGGUUAUGAAUAUGAUUGAUUUAACCUAUAAAAAGAACCUACACUGUGAGCGUGAGCGCAUAUCAAUUAAAUCCUAGUUGUAUUGAUUCAUAAGUUAAAAACGUCUGAAAUAGAUCUUUCUUUGGCUCUGUGCAUAUUACUUUGUUUUGUAAUUUUAGUGAAACAUAUGGCUAUACCUCAACAUACACUAUUCAGUUGAAUAAUUUCAAAAAGCAUUUAGAAUUUAUACAUAUAAAUUAUGAAGUUAUGAUCAAAUCAAUGACUCACAAUAACAGUUAUGAAUGUGAACUUUAUUAAUUAGAAGUGCUGUAAAAGUAUCUCAUUACUCACAAUUUACAAUGGAAUAUGAAAACAAAAAAGUUGGUCUAAAUUGUUUUAAGUUAUAACCAAAUUUGUGCAUAGUUAGUGACCUAUAUGAGACAGGAAUAACACCUCCUGUUAGAUCAGUGACUAUGCUAAUACCAAACCUCUUCCUGUUAGAUUAGUGACUAUGCUAAUACCUAACUCAUUACUGUGCUCAUACCUAACAAAUAACAAUAUCUCUUUUUCUAACUUUUUUGGACAACCGAGGUAUUCUCUGCACGCAACUAUAGAGACUAAUCAUUCGAGGUAACUGAGGUCUAAUCCUGAAACAAAUGGUUAAGGGACUCAAGUAAUGGGAGACAUAUAAUAAUAGUAUAUGUUUUUCCAUACUGCUAAUACCUAACUCAUCACUGAACUCCCCCAUUUCAGUUAACUAACAAUAUCUCUUUUUCUCUCUUUAGUCAACUCAACAAUUUGUGUGUAAAAUAAACUUUCCUUAAUCCAUUAUUUUCAACAAACAAAAGCAAAAAUAGAAAAUGAGUAACGAAUUGAUUCUUACACCUCUUUCUUUUCCAUCAGAUCACUCAACACAUCCCUCACAAUUUCCUUUCAAAGUGUAUAUACAUAUGGUCUUGAACAAUUACUCUUUGCAGUGUGAUUUAUAAAGUGGUUAUUAAAGUUUUAACUGAGCUCUUCUUCAACACAAAAAUACAAAAUUGGAUUAUGGGCAGUCAAAUUACAUACAAUUAGCGAUUUAGAACCCUCUGAUUAAGAUUAAAUGAUUUAGAUCUUAAGACAAUUUUCUUAUUUUUGUUUAAUAUAAAAUUCUAAAUUAAAGUGGUUAGCAAAAGUUAAAAGCAACAGCCACAAAAAAUCAAAGCAAAACAACAGUAUCAUGUAUGUACAUUUGGUUUGCAACAAAAACAGUGGCACACAAUUUUGAAAACAAAAACUAUUUUUUUUACAAAUGCAUCCGAAGUGGUUUUUUAGAGUGUGUGAAAAGUACAUCCGCACAUUAUUUUUAUUUUAUCUUUACUUUCCAUUUUCGAGUCAAAUUAAUUUUUCGGAGGGGGUGAAAGGAUGGUAACAAAGUAAAGAUAACAAAGGGAAAAUAACUUGGAAAUUGCCUGUUUUCAUUUUGUUUUGUACACGAGAUUCGAUGACCAGAACAUAUAAAAUCUAUUUCCAUCUUAGAUUUUCUAAUGAUAGAAGUUGUGCAUACAUUUUACUAAAUAUAUCUUGCACAGAGGCGGCCUCCUUUGGAGACCAUAUUUUCCUUUGCGCAAUCCACGCUAAAACCUACAUUCACAUUGAAGAAAAUACUACUAAACUUUACAAUUGACGAAACUAGAUUUUCUAUACACAUCAAUAAAACACUGGCAUUGUGCAUCAAUCAACACGAGUUUCUCGCUUCCCAAUACCAAUAAAGAUGCCCUGAAAAGGUGAAAAGAAAACAGAAUUACUAGAGAGAAAUAGUUAAAUGACUUUAGAUCUAUUGAAGAA
rnacentral:lncRNA from 1 species